GAGAAAGUGUUCAGUGUGGAGAGGGUCAAUUAACAACAUGGCCAUGGAAUGGGUUUCCCUGCUGUCCCUCUUUUCUCCCUCUCUCUCAGUAUAUGACCACUGAGUAUAUGAUAUGAGUCAGUGGUGCUGACGAUAGUGGGACACUGACUGUGUCUCAGAGUCCUCUCCUCCCCUGCCAGACUGAGUUUCCCAGGCUACAUGACAGGCAGCACCUCUUUUAUUCACACAAGGAGCCCAGGAGGCCGGCCUGGUCGGGGCUGGUAGAGGGGGCAGGGCUAUGGUAUGGUAAUGUGCUCAGAGGAAGUGAGCGCAGGGUAGUGGAAUGCUGCUGAGAUUAGUAGUACUGACUGACUGCCUGGGAGUUCAGCUGGCUGAUCAAGACUGUCAGGACAGUGCUAACCAUUAGCUGCUGAAUGCCUAUCCGGAGAUACUGAGGAUUAUUAGCAUCAGGGCCUACCCAGCGGAUGAAAACAUGCCCCAUUUCACAGUGGUACCGGUGGAGGACAGCGCUACGUCCAACUAUGACAGCCUGGAAGGAAUUAACUGGGUGGACUACAGAGACACAGGACAGGGGGGACACCCUGGACAUCUAGACACUGUCAGCUCUGAUGGCCAUGGAAAUCACAAGGAGGAUAGUCCUUUCCUCAGCAGUGCAGAUGCUGACAGGAAGACUGAUUUCUAUGACAGGAACCUGGCCUUGUUUGAGGAGGAGUUGGACAUCCGUCCCAAGGUGUCGUCCCUCCUCAGCCGGCUGGUCAACUACACCAACAUUACCCAGGGGGCCAGGGAGCACGAGGAGGCCGAGAACACAGAGAUGUCACUCAGGAAGGUCCCAAAGUCCCCCAACAUGGGUACCCUGAUGGGAGUCUACCUGCCCUGUCUACAGAACAUCUUUGGUGUCAUCCUGUUCCUUCGUCUAACGUGGAUCGUGGGCACAGCCGGCAUCAUCCAGUCAUUCCUCAUCGUCCUCAUGUGCUGCUCAUGUACAAUGCUCACUGCCAUGUCCAUGAGUGCCAUAGCUACAAAUGGUGUUGUCCCAGCCGGAGGGGCGUACUUCAUGAUCUCUCGUUCCCUGGGUGCUGAGUUUGGGGGGGCUGUAGGAAUCUGUUUCUACCUGGGAACAACCUUCGCUGCUGCCAUGUACAUACUGGGAGCUAUAGAGAUCUUCCUGAAAUACCUGGUUCCCCAGGCGGCCAUCUUCCACGCCAGCGACCACCAUGGGGGCGACAGUGCCAUCCUCAACAACAUGAGGGUGUACGGCACCAUCUGUCUCAGCCUCAUGGCCGUGGUGGUCUUUGUGGGGGUGAAAUACGUCAACAAACUGGCCUCUCUCUUCCUGGCCUGUGUCAUCAUCUCUAUCGUCUCCAUCUACGCCGGGGCCAUUAAGUCUGUUUUCCAACCACCUGACUUUUCGAUCUGUAUGUUGGGUAACAGGACACUGGUGAGAGAUCAGUUUGACGUGUGUAGUAAGACGGUUCUAGAGGGCAAUGUGACUGUACCUAGUCAGCUGUGGAGGAACUUCUGUAGCUCUGGCAACAUGAGUAGUCCUCAAUGUGACGACUACUUCAACCAGAACAACGUUACAGAGAUACAGGGAAUACCAGGACUGGCCAGCGGCAUCAUCAGAGAUAACAUGUGGGGAGACUACCUGGAGAAGGGUCAGAUCUUGGAGAAGGCAGGUCUGCCCUCAGUAGACGUCCACGGGGCUGUGGAGAGCGUCGGCCUGUACGUCUCAGCUGACAUCGCUACCUCCUUCACCCUCCUGGUGGGAAUCUUCUUUCCCUCCGCCACAGGUAUCAUGGCAGGCUCCAACAGAUCAGGAGAUCUGAAAGAUGCUCAGAAGUCCAUCCCUAUUGGAACCAUCUUGGCUAUAACCACUACUACCCUUGUCUAUUUCAGCUCUGUGGUUCUGUUUGGGGCCUGUAUUGAAGGAGCGGUCCUAAGGGACAAGUUUGGGGAUGCAGUCAGUAAGAACCUGGUUGUGGGGACUCUGUCCUGGCCCUCCCCCUGGGUCAUCGUGAUUGGCUCCUUCUUCUCCACUGUGGGGGCGGGACUACAGUCCCUGACUGGCGCCCCUCGUCUCCUACAGGCCAUCGCCAAGGACAACAUCAUCCCCUUCCUCAGGGUGUUUGGUCAUGGCAAGGCCAAUGGGGAGCCAACCUGGGCACUGUUACUGACAGGACUCAUUGCUGAGCUGGGCAUCCUCAUAGCCUCUCUGGACAUGGUGGCCCCCAUCCUCUCCAUGUUCUUCUUGAUGUGCUAUCUGUUUGUGAACUUAGCCUGUGCUGUGCAGACUUUACUACGGACACCAAACUGGAGGCCUAGGUUUAAAUAUUACCACUGGGCUCUGUCUUUUCUGGGUAUGAGUAUGUGUCUGGCUCUGAUGUUCAUCUCCUCCUGGUAUUAUGCCAUCGUGGCCAUGUGCAUAGCUGGCAUGAUCUACAAGUACAUUGAGUACCAGGGUGCGGAGAAGGAGUGGGGAGAUGGGAUACGAGGUUUGUCCCUCAGUGCUGCGCGCUACUCUCUGCUACGGCUGGAGCAUGGACCACCUCACACUAAAAACUGGAGGCCCCAGGUCCUGGUGCUAUUGAAGCUGGAUGAGGACCUCCAUGUGAAGUAUCCCCGUCUGUUGACCUUUGUCUCCCAGCUGAAGGCAGGGAAGGGCCUGACCAUAGUGGGCUCUGUCAUCCAGGGACAGUUCCUGGACAGCUACGGAGAAACACAGGCCUCUGAACAGGCCGUAAAGAACAUGAUGGAGAUCGAGCGGGUGAAGGGUUUCUGCCAGGUGGUUGUGGCGUCCAAGGUGAGGGAGGGCAUUGCCCACCUGAUCCAGUCAUGUGGCCUGGGGGGCAUGAAGCACAACACAGUGGUGAUGGGAUGGCCCUACGGCUGGAGGCAAAGUGAAGACCCCCGCGCAUGGAAGACAUUCAUUCACACAGUCCGCUGUACCACAGCAGCCCACCUGGCUCUGAUGGUGCCCAAGAAUGUUUCCUUCUACCCCAGCAACCACGAACGCUUCACAGACGGCACCAUCGAUGUGUGGUGGAUCGUCCAUGACGGAGGAAUGCUCAUGCUGCUACCUUUCCUGCUCAAACAGCACAAGGUUUGGAGGAAGUGUAAGAUGCGUAUCUUCACUGUGGCCCAGAUGGAUGACAACAGUAUUCAGAUGAAGAAGGACCUGGCUACGUUCCUGUACCAGCUGAGAAUAGAGGCAGAGGUGGAGGUGGUGGAAAUGCAUGACAGCGACAUCUCGGCCUACACGUAUGAGAGGACUCUGAUGAUGGAGCAGAGAUCUCAGAUGCUUAGACAGAUGAGGCUGUCCAGCGCAGAGAGAGAAAGAGAGGCCCAGCUGGUAAAGGACAGACACUCUCUGAUCCGUAUGGGCAGCCUGUACUCAGACGAGGAGGAGGAGGUGGUGGAGCCUGUAGCUGAUAAGAACCAGAUGACCUGGACCAAGGAGAAGUACGAGGCAGAGAGGAGGAACAGGAACAACGCACCAGAGAACUUCAGAGAACUCAUGAGCCUCAAACCGUGAGUCAAUUGUUGUUGGUCUAUUGGAAGGCCAGGAGUUUUUCUUGAGACGUGAUCUGACGAGGAAAACCCACAGGCCUUUCACGUGGUUAGGAAAAUCUCCAUCCGGUCCCAUCUGAGGGACCAGUCCAAUGUGCGGCGGAUGCACACAGCAGUGAAGCUGAACGAGGUGAUUGUCAACAAGUCCCAUGAUGCUCGCCUGGUGCUGCUCAACAUGCCGGGGCCGCCACGCAACACAGACGGAGAUGAGAACUAUAUGGAGUUUCUGGAGGUGCUGACGGAAGGUCUGGAGAGAGUGCUGCUGGUGAGAGGAGGAGGACGAGAGGUCAUCACUAUCUACUCCUGACCUAUCAGAAACCACUCGGGUCACAGGUCACGACACUGCCUCGACAGGAGACAUUCCACCCCGAUCACCGGGGACACUGCAGCACCGGCAGCAGCAUCCAGCCGAUCCUCAACAUACAGUACAUACCAACUGCGCCAAUUAAUGAUGGAAUUAAGAGGACUUUUAUUGUGGUAUUUGAGGACCACAGAAAGCAAUAAUAAUUUGCCUGGCAUUUCUACGGAAAGUAUUGCCUUCCAUGAGGACAGUAGCCUUUAAAGAUUACAUGCUAUAAUUCCCUCAUGAAUCCCUUAUUGCCAAGGCAACUAAAGCUUGGGUCAUUCACAAACCUAUUUCUGCAAUAGGAGACCAUUAACAACUGCUACUUUUACACAUACAUCCAUCAAACAUGAAUUUUCUAUGUCGACUGAGUCAGUAUUUUUGUGUUGUUUGCAGAAAAUAAAAUAUGGUGGGCUUUCCCUCAUCAAGGAUUAGCUUGCCAGAUAGCACAGUCUUGGGUGGUCCUUAUGAAGGCAUCUGUGUAGAGUGCCAAUGUUAGUUAUUUUUUCACAACCUUUUUAUGGUUGGUGGAAUAAGAACUUUUGUUAUUUAUUUUCUUAUUUAUUUUCUCAACCUUCCCCCGAUGAGGAUAAGAUUUUUCGUAUUGUAGAUAAUGAAAUGCCAGUUGGGGUAUUUAAACAGAUGGCACAGAGAGUGCUUGUAAAUGUAAAUGUGGAUUCCAGAGAUUGUUUUGAAGCAUUAUUUUACUGGAUUAUUAUUUGUAAUUGUUGAAAGAGAAGAGGUUUUAAUUAAUUGACAAUUAUACAUUACAUUUAAUCUGCUAUUUCUGUACAAAAUAGAUUAUUAUAGGCAUGAAGACGACUUACAGGGCCACCUGAACAGAGUAGCAUAUGCACACAUUUCCUUUUCUUUCCUGUAGACUGCAAGAGCUGUAAAGACGAAGAGUAUUUAUCUGAAUUUACCAAUAAAAUCAUGAUUCAUUUCCCUAUUCAACCAGAA